rnacentral:rRNA from 1 species
UACGGAGGAUCCGAGCGUCAUCCGGAUUUAUUGGGUUUAAAGGGUGCGCAGGCGGAAGAUUAAGUCGGCGGUGAAAUUUUGCAGCUCAACUGUAAAAGUGCCUUCGAAACUGGUUUUCUUGAGUGUGGAUGAAGUAGGCGGAAUUUGUGGUGUAGCGGUGAAAUGCAUAGAUAUCACGAGGAACUCCGAUUGCGUAGGCAGCUUACUAAACCAUAACUGACGCUCAUGCACGAAGGCGUGGGGAUCAAACAGGAUUAGAUACCCGGGUAGU